GAAGCCGUUCAGGUGGCCGCGGGUCGCAAGGCUCGAGGAAAGUCCGAGCUCCACAGGGCACGGUGCUGGGUAACUCCCAGGGGAAGCGAUUCCACGGAAAGUGCCACAGAGAACAGACCGCCUCGAUCCUUCGGGAUCGCGGUAAGGGUGAAACGGUGAGGUAAGAGCUCACCAGCAUCCCCGGUGACGGGGAUGGCUCGGCAAACCCCACCGGGAGCAAGACCAAAUAGGAGAGGAGAGGUGGCCCGCCUCGUUCGACUCUCGGGUCGGUCGCUGGAGCGUCACGGCAACGUGGCGCCAAGAUAAAUGGUCACCACCGGCGCGCUCGCGCCGGGACAGAACUCGGCUUACGAACGACUUCGCCC
rnacentral:RNase_P_RNA from 1 species